AACUGAUCAGUUGAUUUCACUGGACGUUACAAUGACAUUUGUUAUAGAGACAAAAUACUUAUAAAGAUAUUUAGAUCAUCGGAACAAACAGCUACAGUUUCACUGUAUUUAUAUAUAUUUGUUAGCACAUAUAUAUUUGCAGAAAUUCAUGUAUAUUGUCAAAGGUGUUUAAUGUGUGUACCUUUUUAAUUUUGCUUCUUUAAUUUCUUAUUUUAUUUUAUUCAUUUUCAUUCACAUUUCAUUUAUCUCUUUCUUAGUCUUCCUCUGAGCUGCUGUAACAUGUAACUUUCCUCCUGGGAUCAAUAAAGUUUUCAUUUCUCUUAUUUUUUUUAGGAAAAGUGAUUAAAUAAAUGUUUUAAUCUAAUAUCCGACUGUUACAGUACAAUUAUUUAACUAUGUUAGAAGUUUGUUCUUUUUGUUUGUUCUUUGUUCUUGUUCAAAUGUUCUGUAUUCUGUAUUGAUUUUUCUUCUAAACACACAAAACUGCAGUGUUUUUGUGUUUCUGAAACGUUUUGACAGUUUGACAUCAGGAUCUUAUUUGACACAUGGCGCCAACAGAUGGAUCAACAGCACAAAUGAGAAAAUUUCCUGUUUUUCUGUCCUUCAUCAACUGACUGAACCAACGGUCGAUCUGAUCCCAGAGCAGUUGUCUCCUCUGGAGACUGUUGGUGUUCUGCUCCAACAGUUUCUCAUGUUUCUGUUUUCCACAAAGUCUCCAGCUUUCAGCGACCAGGAACAUUGACACACAGGAGGAUUCAGACUGACUGCAGCAGCAACAAGGACCGUUAGUUAAGGACUUUCAGGUAAACCCAGCGUUGGUUGUUGGAGACAGAAGAAGGAAGACAAGACUUCAGGAUGGAUACAACACUGACCUUCAUCUUCCUCCUGCGGUGAGACUCACUGAUGAACUGCUCCUUUAACAGUCAGAUUUUUCAGUGUAUUUAUGGUUCAUAUAUUUUCUGCGUUUGUUGUCUCCUGUUGUAGAUGUUGGUGUGUUUGGUCUCUGCCCAGAGGACAGUCUGUCUCUUUCUCGGUGGUUUUCAGUGGUGGAAUUCAGCUUCUGGUGGACGUCCGUGAAGAAGCAGCCGUU